rnacentral:rRNA from 1 species
UACGUAGGGGGCAAGCGUUGUCCGGAAUUAUUGGGCGUAAAGAGCGCGUAGGCGGCCAGAUAAGUCCGGUGUGAAAGUCAGAGGCUCAACCUUUGAAUGCCGCUGGAAACUGUCUGGCUAGAGUCCGGGAGAGGUGAGUGGAACUGCGAGUGUAGAGGUGAAAUUCGUAGAUAUUCGCAAGAACACCAGUGGCGAAGGCGGCUCACUGGCCCGGUACUGACGCUGAGGUGCGAAAGCGUGGGGAGCAAACAGG